CGCGGUAAUACGAAGGGGGCUAGCGUUGCUCGGAAUCACUGGGCGUAAAGGGCGCGUAGGCGGCGUUUUAAGUCGGGGGUGAAAGCCUGUGGCUCAACCACAGAAUGGCCUUCGAUACUGGGACGCUUGAGUAUGGUAGAGGUUGGUGGAACUGCGAGUGUAGAGGUGAAAUUCGUAGAUAUUCGCAAGAACACCGGUGGCGAAGGCGGCCAACUGGACCAUUACUGACGCUGAGGCGC
rnacentral:rRNA from 1 species